GGCAACCUGCUUGGGUCCCUUUCCACACCGCGGAAGCUUUGUUCUUUUGCUCUUUGCAAUAAAUCUUGCUGCUGCUCACUCUUUGGGUCCACACUGCCUUUAUGAGCUGUAACACCGCGAAGGUCCACAGCUUCACUCCUGAGCCAGCGAGACCACGAACCCCACCAGAAGGAAGAAUCUGUGAACACAUCCGAACAUCAGAAGGAACAAACUCUAGACAUGCCGCCUUUAAGAACUGCAACACUCACUGCGAGUGUCCGCGGCUUCAUUCUUGAAGUCAGUGAGACGAAGAACCCACCAAUUCCAGACACAUUUUGGCGACCUAGAUGGGACAAUCGCCUAUCACCGAGUGGUGAGACCAUCGCCUAUAGCUGAGCGGCGAGACAAUCACCUAUCGCCAAGCAAAUGAGCAAACAGUUGUCUUCACCAUCCCAGACAAGCAGAUGAAUGGUGAAACGAUACAGCAGAGAAAGAGAGAAGAGGAACAUUUGAACGCCGAGAGGAGUUCAGCCGAGGGUGGUCGGAGAGGUUUGGCCACCCAGCAGGAAGAUUAUCUUCCCGUGCCAUCCCCGCUUCCAGCUCUGCAUCCAUCCUUCAGAGAACCACCUCCACCACUCAAUAAAACCCUGCAUUCAACCUUCAAGCCCAUGUGUGGCCUGAUUCUUCCAGGAUGCUGGGCAAG
rnacentral:lncRNA from 1 species